GGGCGCAAGCCUGAUGGAGCAACACCGCGUGAGUGAAGAAGGGUUUCGGCUCGUAAAGCUCUGUUGUUUAAAGAAGAACACGUAUGAGAGUAACUGUUCAUACGUUGACGGUAUUUAACCAGAAAGUCACGGCUAACUACGUGCCAGCAGCCGCGGUAAUACGUAGGUGGCAAGCGUUAUCCGGAUUUAUUGGGCGUAAAGAGAGUGCAGGCGGUUUUCUAAGUCUGAUGUGAAAGCCUUCGGCUUAACCGGAGAAGUGCAUCGGAAACUGGAUAACUUGAGUGCAGAAGAGGGUAGUGGAACUCCAUGUGUAGCGGUGGAAUGCGUAGAUAUAUGGAAGAGCACCAGUGGCGAAGGCGGCUACCUGGUCUGCAACUGACGCUGAGACUCGAAAGCACGGGUAGCGAACAGGAUUAGAUACCCUGGUAG
rnacentral:rRNA from 1 species